UUAAGCGACUAAGCGUACACGGUGGAUGCCCUGGCAGUCAGAGGCGAUGAAGGACGUGCUAAUCUGCGAUAAGCGCCGGUAAGGUGAUAUGAACCGUUAUAACCGGCGAUUUCCGAAUGGGGAAACCCAGUGUGAUUCGUCACACUAUCAUUAACUGAAUCCAUAGGUUAAUGAGGCGAACCGGGGGAACUGAAACAUCUAAGUACCCCGAGGAAAAGAAAUCAACCGAGAUUCCCCCAGUAGCGGCGAGCGAACGGGGAGGAGCCCAGAGCCUGAAUCAGCAUGUGUGUUAGUGGAAGCGUCUGGAAAGGCGCGCGAUACAGGGUGACAGCCCCGUACACAAAAGCGCAUGUGCUGUGAGCUCGAUGAGUAGGGCGGGACACGUGGUAUCCUGUCUGAAUAUGGGGGGACCAUCCUCCAAGGCUAAAUACUCCUGACUGACCGAUAGUGAACCAGUACCGUGAGGGAAAGGCGAAAAGAACCCCGGCGAGGGGAGUGAAAAAGAACCUGAAACCGUGUACGUACAAGCAGUGGGAGCCCCACCACUAAGCCAGUGGUGAACUCCACAUACGCAUCCUUUGCUGAAGGCAAUGGUUAACGGAGCGAAAGCGACGUUCAACCGCAAAACAAGCAGAGGGGGCUUAGUGGUGGGGUGACUGCGUACCUUUUGUAUAAUGGGUCAGCGACUUAUAUUCUGUAGCAAGGUUAACCGAAUAGGGGAGCCGUAGGGAAACCGAGUCUUAACCGGGCGUUAAGUUGCAGGGUAUAGACCCGAAACCCGGUGAUCUAGCCAUGGGCAGGUUGAAGGUUGGGUAACACUAACUGGAGGACCGAACCGACUAAUGUUGAAAAAUUAGCGGAUGACCUGUGGCUGGGGGUGAAAGGCCAAUCAAACCGGGAGAUAGCUGGUUCUCCCCGAAAGCUAUUUAGGUAGCGCCUCGUGAAUUCAUCUCCGGGGGUAGAGCACUGUUUCGGCUAGGGGGCCAUCCCGGCUUACCAACCCGAUGCAAACUGCGAAUACCGGAGAAUGUUAUCACGGGAGACACACGGCGGGUGCUAACGUCCGUCGUGAAGAGGGAAACAACCCAGACCGCCAGCUAAGGUCCCAAAGUCAUGGUUAAGUGGGAAACGAUGUGGGAAGGCCCAGACAGCCAGGAUGUUGGCUUAGAAGCAGCCAUCAUUUAAAGAAAGCGUAAUAGCUCACUGGUCGAGUCGGCCUGCGCGGAAGAUGUAACGGGGCUAAACCAUGCACCGAAGCUGCGGCAGCGACACUAUGUGUUGUUGGGUAGGGGAGCGUUCUGUAAGCCUGCGAAGGUGGCCUGUGAGGGUUGCUGGAGGUAUCAGAAGUGCGAAUGCUGACAUAAGUAACGAUAAAGCGGGUGAAAAGCCCGCUCGCCGGAAGACCAAGGGUUCCUGUCCAACGUUAAUCGGGGCAGGGUGAGUCGACCCCUAAGGCGAGGCCGAAAGGCGUAGUCGAUGGGAAACGGGUUAAUAUUCCCGUACUUGGUGUUACUGCGAAGGGGGGACGGAGAAGGCUAUGUUGGCCGGGCGACGGUUGUCCCGGUUUAAGCGUGUAGGUGUGUGUUCCAGGUAAAUCCGGUUCACUUUAACACUGAGGCGUGACGACGAGGCACUACGGUGCUGAAGCAACAAAUGCCCUGCUUCCAGGAAAAGCCUCUAAGCAUCAGGUAACAUCAAAUCGUACCCCAAACCGACACAGGUGGUCAGGUAGAGAAUACCAAGGCGCUUGAGAGAACUCGGGUGAAGGAACUAGGCAAAAUGGUGCCGUAACUUCGGGAGAAGGCACGCUGACACGUAGGUGAAGUGAUUUACUCAUGGAGCUGAAGUCAGUCGAAGAUACCAGCUGGCUGCAACUGUUUAUUAAAAACACAGCACUGUGCAAACACGAAAGUGGACGUAUACGGUGUGACGCCUGCCCGGUGCCGGAAGGUUAAUUGAUGGGGUCAGCGCAAGCGAAGCUCCUGAUCGAAGCCCCGGUAAACGGCGGCCGUAACUAUAACGGUCCUAAGGUAGCGAAAUUCCUUGUCGGGUAAGUUCCGACCUGCACGAAUGGCGUAAUGAUGGCCAGGCUGUCUCCACCCGAGACUCAGUGAAAUUGAACUCGCUGUGAAGAUGCAGUGUACCCGCGGCAAGACGGAAAGACCCCGUGAACCUUUACUAUAGCUUGACACUGAACAUUGAGCCUUGAUGUGUAGGAUAGGUGGGAGGCUUUGAAGCGUGGACGCCAGUCUGCGUGGAGCCGACCUUGAAAUACCACCCUUUAAUGUUUGAUGUUCUAACGUGGACCCGUAAUCCGGGUUGCGGACAGUGUCUGGUGGGUAGUUUGACUGGGGCGGUCUCCUCCUAAAGAGUAACGGAGGAGCACGAAGGUUGGCUAAUCCUGGUCGGACAUCAGGAGGUUAGUGCAAUGGCAUAAGCCAGCUUGACUGCGAGCGUGACGGCGCGAGCAGGUGCGAAAGCAGGUCAUAGUGAUCCGGUGGUUCUGAAUGGAAGGGCCAUCGCUCAACGGAUAAAAGGUACUCCGGGGAUAACAGGCUGAUACCGCCCAAGAGUUCAUAUCGACGGCGGUGUUUGGCACCUCGAUGUCGGCUCAUCACAUCCUGGGGCUGAAGUAGGUCCCAAGGGUAUGGCUGUUCGCCAUUUAAAGUGGUACGCGAGCUGGGUUUAGAACGUCGUGAGACAGUUCGGUCCCUAUCUGCCGUGGGCGCUGGAGAACUGAGGGGGGCUGCUCCUAGUACGAGAGGACCGGAGUGGACGCAUCACUGGUGUUCGGGUUGUCAUGCCAAUGGCACUGCCCGGUAGCUAAAUGCGGAAGAGAUAAGUGCUGAAAGCAUCUAAGCACGAAACUUGCCCCGAGAUGAGUUCUCCCUGAGACUUUAGGUCUCCUGAAGGAACGUUGAAGACGACGACGUUGAUAGGCCGGGUGUGUAAGCGCAGCGAUGCGUUGAGCUAACCGGUACUAAUGAACCGUGAGGCUUAACCUU
rnacentral:rRNA from 1 species